GACGAACGCUGGCGGCAUGCCUAAUACAUGCAAGUCGAGCGAACAGAUGAAGUGCUUGCACUUCUGACGUUAGCGGCGAACGGGUGAGUAACACGUAAGGAAUCUACCUAUAAGCGGGGGAUAACAUUCGGAAAAGGGUGCUAAUACCGCAUAAUAUCUUCUUCCGCAUGGAAGAAGAUUGAAAGACGGCUCUGCUGCCACUUAUAGAUGACCUUGCGGUGCGUUAGUUAGUUGGUGGGGUAACGGCCUACCAAGACGAUGAUGCAUAGCCGACCUGAGAGGGUGAUCGGCCACAUUGGGACUGAGACACGGCCCAAACUCCUACGGGAGGCAGCAGUAGGGAAUCUUCCGCAAUGGGCGAAAGCCUGACGGAGUAAUGCCGCGUGAGUGAAGAAGGCCUUCGGGUCGUAAAACUCUGUUAUAAGAGAAGAACAAAUUGUAGAGUAACUGCUACAGUCUUGACGGUAUCUUAUCAGAAAGCCACGGCUAACUACGUGCCAGCCGCCGCUGUAA
rnacentral:rRNA from 1 species